rnacentral:tRNA from 1 species
UGCCCGAUCGUCUAAUGGCAGGACAGCAGCCUUUGAAGCUGCACAUCUAGGUUCGAAUCCUAGUCGGGCAU